AUAUAUAUAUAUAUAUUCCGACUCCAAUUGAGAGAGAGAGAGAGAGAGACGAAUUCAGAUCAGUAAGCAUUAGCAGAGAGAAAAUAUCCUUGGUAGUUAAAAGGAUUAUGAUUAUUUUAUUUCCUAAAAGCUCAUUGUAGACAUCCAGAUUUAUGAUUAUUUCAUUUCCACGAGUUCUUUUGCGUUUGUUGUGAGAAAAUCUACCCUCUGCAAUAAUUAUGGAUAACAGAGGUAGAAAGAAGAUAACAGAAAAUCAUACCACCUUAAGACAAUAACCCAGAAACAUACACUGGUCAGAUGAAACUAGUAAAUUACACAAAAUUGAGCAACUGCAAACUUAAAUGGAGAUGAUGGAGUAAAAAGACAAAGAAAAAACCAUGGAUUAUGAACGAAAUUGGAAGGUCACCAUCCUGUAUAGGUUAGGGUUUGAAUCCAUGGUGUACAUAGAAUAGAUGAAACAAUGUAUGGGUGUUGGUGGUUAUUUAUGUCAUUUUAAUUAUGGUUAUUUUUGUAAAUAGAAAAAAUGUGGUGGUUCAAUAAAAUUUUGAUGUGGCAAUAUAAUCACCCUUUCUGUUUUUCCUAAGGGUAUGUUUGAUUACAAACAUGAAAUUUGCAUGGAAAAAAAUGAAAAUUAUUAAUUAAAUAUGUUUGACCGGUUUUAAUUUCUAAUCUAUAAAAUGUUAUAUUUCUCAAUCUUUUAUUGGUGGGUAAAUGAGCUAAAGAGAUGUGAUAAAUGUGUGUGUGUGUGAGAGAGUGAAUUACUUGAAAAAAAAUUGGUAUUUUGUAUGUGUAACCAUUGAAUUUCAUAAAUUCUAACAAGAUAACACUCGGAAGAAAAAUAUACCCCUGAUAUAGCAUACAAAAUAUUUGUAUAUCACACACACACACACACCAAACAAGGAAAAUAUUGCCCAUAUCUUUUUAAAAAAUAUGAAUGAUCUCAUUAUUGCAAAUAAUGACAGUCAAACCAAUUUUUUUCCCAUUUUUUUCUUUAUUUUCCCCUAUCCUUUUUUAGUGUCACCGUAUUAAGUAUCUCAUUGUAACAAGCAUAUAUUUCAAACCAUUGUUUAUUAAAAAAAGAAUAACUUUUUAUUUGGUUAAAACGUAGGCUAUGAUAAGGCUAAUGAAAGAACAUAUGAGGUUUAUAAACAAAGUAUGAAAGAGGAAAGUAUAGAUUUAUAUGUUGUCGUGUUUUGAAUUUGUUUUUGAAGAGAGGCCUUUUGAGCUAGUUCUCUUUCUCAUUUCAUCAUUAUAUUUUUAAGAACAUGAGGCUUCAAAGUGGUUACUAAGGAUAUAUAUUUAUUUGGUAGGCCAAAAAGGGUUAAACGGAUCAAAGAUGCCCUUACUAUCAUCUUUUAGAAAAAUAAAUUGGUUAUUUAUAUAUACAUGCUCAAAGAUCAUCAAAAUGACAACACUCUCUCCUUUUUCACAUUUUUUUUUUUUAACAAUAUGGACCAAUAGUUAUAGAAGAUUGAUGGGUAAAAUGGUUACUCUCCAAAGAAUAUUAUGGGCUCAAAGACUUGCUUGGAUUUUUAUGCAGGAUUAUGCCAUUUGUACACCCAUUGUUGUCACCCUUGUGACACUUGCCCAUGUGUCAGAAAUUUGUCCAUUAUUUAAAAAAUUGUUGUUAAAAUCAAUGUAUAAAAUUCUAUCAACUCACAUAAGUAAAAAAACUAGGUGUAAAGCUAGAUGUACAUGUCGCAUAACUCUUUUAUGGAAUGCCCUCAAUACGGAUUUUCAUCUCUUUUAAGAACUUGUGUCAUUACAUUCGUCGUAGCUAUAAAAUGAAGUAAUCGGGACAUGAUAAAAAGUUUAUAUGUACCAUAGAUAAUAUUCUUUGCUAAAAAUUGGAUGGUCCUUACUCCCCAACUUAAAUGAAUCAUUGUCCUCAAUGCGAAGAUUAAACAUUGAAAAAUGUAUGAAGGACAUUAAAUAUCAAAAGUUUGAACAAAGAGAUGGGCUUUGGAUUUUAAUUGGACUAGGAGAACCUUCAAUGUCAUUAGAACAAAAAAAGAAAAAUAAUAGUAAGAGAAACACGCCUAAGAUAAACACAAUAUUACAAAACUAAAGGGAAACAUAUAAACAGAUAAUGAGAAAAGAAAAAUCAAUAUUUAAUACUAAGCAAAGCAAUGGACUCCUCUAAUUUAGAGAGAUUUUCAAAAAAGAAGUCAAACGAUGUAACUCCAAAAAUAUUUUCAUUAAUUGGAUCUUCAAUUUUUAUAGCUCCGUGUGGGUAAAUAGGUUCAACAAUGAAAGAACCAGUCCACUUUGAUCUUAGUUUUCUAGAAAAUAAUUGUAACAUUGAGUUGUACAAAAGAACUUUUUGGAAAGACUCAAAAAAGUUUUUUCAACAAUAUUUUUAUCAUGAUAUACCUUCAUUCUUUCCUUGUAAAUUCAAGAGUUCUCAUAAACUUCAUUCAUGAUUUCUUUCAACUCGUUUAGUUGAAGUUUCCUUAGUUAACACGCCUUAUCUAAACUGAAAUUGAACAUUUUAAUAGCCCAAAAUGCUUUAUGUUCUAAUUCAACAAGUAAAUGACAAGGCUUUCAAAACAUGUCAAUAAGAGGACAUACCAAGAAGUGUUUUGAAAGCUGUACAGUAGGUCUAAAGUGCAUCAGUUAACGUAAAGACCAAUCAUUUCUAUUUGAAUUCAUUGUUUUUUUAAGAUGUGUUUAGUCUCCCUAUUUGCAAGUUCAGCUUGACCACUUGUGUUCGAGUGAUAAGGAGUAGACACUUAACGAGUAAUCUCAUAUUUUUGCAUUAGGGCCUUAAAAGGUCUAUUACAAAAGUGUAAACCUAUCACUUAUAAUGGCUCGAGGUAUUCCAAAUUUUGACAAAAAAUUUUCUUUCAAAUAUUUCAAUAUGAAUUUGUUAUCAUUAUGUUUAAAAGAAAUUGCCUCUACCUAUUUAGAAACACAAUCAACUCUUCCUUGGAUAUAUAAAUAACCAAAAGAACACAUGAAAAUCUUAAAUUUACUAGUUCGUCCCUAAUUAGGUCAAUCAUCAUUGUAAUUACAUGGCUUCAACCUUUUUAGAUAAAGUAACAAUCCUAACAUUUAAAUCAUUCUCUUGACUCAAUUGAUAUUUUCCUUCACUAGAACUAGCAAGACUAGAUCUGAUUGAAUUUUCGAUCGCUUUCUCUGUUUGCCAAAUUGAGAAUUUUCAACUAUAUGACCUAAAAAUUUCAAAGCUCGAUCAAGAUUUUUAUCUAAAAAUUCACCAUUACAUAUUGUUUCCACAAAUUGUUUUGUUUUAGGAGUUAAAUCUUCAUAAAAGAAGCUUAUAGUGUGCCGUUUUCAAACCAUGAUGUAGACAAGUACUAAACAUUGAAAGCAUGCUUCAUGGGUUUUUCAAAAAAAGAAAAAAAAAUGGAUUUGUCUUUUCAAUUCAUUAGUUUUAUAGAGAAGUGGUGAUAAAGUAAGACCGGAGGAUUUGCUUCCACUCCAUUAACAAGUCAAAAGAAAAAAAUAUUGGGGAGUUGUUCUUAGAUUUCUUUUGAUUAUUUUUUUUGUUAAUUUUGCGAAAUUACAAAAUUGAUAAUUGUAUUUUUGAUCAAUUAAUGUAGUGAAUUGUGUUGUUUGACCUGUGGUAUGGGGUGGUGGAUGUUUCCUUUUAGAGUUUAC
rnacentral:lncRNA from 1 species